AGAGUUAAACAGUACGUGAAAUUGUUGAAAGGGAAACGAUUGAAGUCAGUCAUGCUAGUGAAAAUUCAGUUUGGUGGGUUUUGGGUUCAGGAGUUGAGGCAGGGUCAAACCGUUUCUCUUUUGAACUUGGAAUUUGUCAGAUGCACUUUUUCUUUGGCAGGUCAGCGUCGAUUUCGGAGGUUGUAAAAUACUUGGGGAAAAGUAGCUCUGCUUCGGGGGAGUGUUAUAGACCUUGGGUGAUGCGGCCUGCGGGAUCGAGGAUUGCAGCAAAUGCUUUUUGGCUUGUCGCCUGAUCUCUGGACGUCAUCUCGCUUGUAUCAACAUUCUUGGUACCGGUGAGUAAUGGUGCUCAUAGGUUAGAACGAAUUACAUUCGUUAAGGAUGUUGACGUAAUGACUUUAAACGACC
rnacentral:rRNA from 1 species